UAUGGGACGCACGCAGAGACAGCACCCACCAGGGUGUCAGAACUGUUAAGAGAGUUGACGGCCCGAUCCGAAGAAUGAUUAAGACACGUUUAAGAUCUUGUGAAAAUCUUUAAAAGACCGAUAACUAAACGACAUGUCAAAUUGACGUUUAUUUCGAUUCCGCUGUAAUCUCAAUAAUAUCUAUCCACGAUAUUUCUAACGUCAAAGUGACAUUGGUUUGCUGAAUUGAGCUGCUUCUCUCAAUUAUACGACAUACAAACGAUAUCAAAAUGAGAAUGUAUCUAAACCAGAACUUAUCGUAAUCUUCGAAUCGGGCCGUGAAUCUAAAAUAAAGCAAGGGACUGAAUACUAUGGGAUAAAAAAGUUUAUUGUCAAAAAAUCAUUAUUGAUACAAGCUUUUAUAGUUAACUGUACUUUUCUUUGAAUAGGCAACUAGAACUCAGCGAGACAAUUCUAAUACUCGUACACCCAAAUGAAAUUAGGUUUAGGUUGGUCACAGAGUACUUAUGGCCACCUCCUGUGUCCAUCAUCAGAUCAGCUCGAUGGUACCAUAAUAUUGCAUUGUCACUAGGGUGACUACAUCUCAUUUUUGGUUUAAAUCUUUAUACCUGUGUCAUUCUGAUGUUAUUCGAUUAUUAUAAUAACGAAAGAAAAGGAGAUAGUCGUUCGUACUUUGGCUUCAUUUUUAUCGAGACUGACGCGGGCGCUGUCUCGGUCAAUUUCUUUGAUAAAAUGAGUGACGUUCAAGCCGAAUUACUGUCGCGAUUAGAACGUUAAGCACGUCAUUUUAUCAAAUUGAUAGUGACCGCGCCCGCUACAACGCCUCUGCAGUAAUGCCGCAACAGUAAUGCAGCUCAAACGAAAUGAAAUUUAUUCUUGAUAAGAUACAGAGUUACACGUCCCUACAUUUUGAAAAAUGUAUUUUUUAUCACGAUAUUAAUAAUACAGGACACCUGCAAUAAUUAACGGGGUGAAUAUAUAGGUCAUACUGAGUAACUUUUACUACGAGACUAAGCCCUAUAUCGUGAAAAAAAAAAUUGGCUGUUUCAUACAUUUUGGCUGUCUGACCUUGACAUUUUCUAUGGGAGAUUAAAAAAUUCGCGAUUUCAAGGUUGGUCCCAUAUCAAAAGUUGCUCAGCAUGACCUAUAUAUUCAGCCGUAAAUUAUUGCAGGUGACUAAAUAAACACCCUGUAUUAUUAAUAUCGUGAUAAAAAAUACACUCAACGUAUGCAAGGAUCAUAUCGACAAUUGACUCGCAGUAAAAAUUAAAGUCAUCGCGGGCUUAAACGGCCCGCUCCGAAACGGCCUUUCCAUACAAACGUAGUCCCCAUUUUGUCUCUAGAUAUUAACAUUAUUGAAAAUAUUUUUACACAAUUUGAUGUGUUUUAAUCAUAGCUAUGCCCGACCGUUUGAUUUUUUUGAUUUAUUUAAUAUUAUAAGAGUUAGGAGCAAUUAAAAAUUUGUGUGUAACCUAUGACUAAUAUAUAUAAAAUUUAAAAAAAUAUUUUCCAUAAUGUCAAUAUCCAGGGAGGAAAAUGAGGACUACGUUUGUAUGGAGAAUCAAUCGUCCUCUUUUCUCUUAACGUGCACUAGGUUCAGGGAGCGGAGUUUUUGAAAAGUCGUAAGGCUUAUUUAGAACACAAUACGGCUGCCAAAAUUUUUACUAACAAUCAUGAGGCCUUUUUCAAGGGACACUAUCGAUUCAAAUCCUGAGUUUUUCACUUUCGCUUUCGUAUUUCAAUGAAAAACAAAAUCACAAAGGUCUAAAAUGCACUUUAAAAAUUUGUAACAAAUUUUGCACAAAGGCUAAAAAUUGCUUCUAAAAAUCGACAAUAUCAUGUUUGAGGGACCUUGUCGAUUACUUUUAUUUUUAUUUAAAUGUACAAAAACUUAAAAUUCAAAAACAUGAUAUUCGCGCUCCCGGGCACACACACCCAUCUCAUUCACGCUUACGCUCAGCAAGAGUGAGAGAAGAACAAGCACUUAUUGGGCCUUAAUACAGAAAUUGAACGCCAUCAUAAUUGAAAUGCGAGAAUCUGUACAUUCUUGUGAUUUGUUACACACUUUUAUUUUUGGGGGUGAAAACCUUUUUUUUCGCUCGUUAUUCAUAAUUGUGGUCAACCUUUUUUCUAUAUUUGAUUAUUCAUGGUAAACAUUAAAUAUAGUUCAAUAAAUGUUAGUAAGUACAAAAUUAAACAGGUUAAAAAAAAAUUAAAAUUAUGACAUUAAAAGACUUUUGUGUAUAUUAAAACGUAUUAAUUGUUUUAAAAUAAGCAUCGCAGAAUUUUGAGAGCUGUUUUUCUGGACCACCAUCUAUAUUAGUGAGCAUAAAAACGGUAGCCCUCAUUGAGAACUGUUAUACACUCAUAAUUAUUUUGCUUACCAGGUAAAGCUAAAAUGUAGGUGAAGCAUUGACAGCAAUUUUACUGUAUAAAAAAUCGAAUAAUAGAAAAAACAACAAAAACACUCGUAAUUUACUCUUUAAUUAUAUUUAGGUCUAAUAAUAUUCUAAAUCUUUUAGUGUGUAAGUUUGUGUAGUGUAUUUUGGUGGAAUAAACCGUUUGGGUUGAAUCCAGAGUUUUUUUCAAAACUCCAACGGAGGCUGUGCCCUAUUACAGAACGUUCUUCUUUUGAAAUUUGCAAGUUGGUUGAAAAAGAGAUAGUAAUAACAAGCGUUGCCAGGUGCCAGCUCGUCCUUAAGGCACAUUUUUACUGGAGAACAAACCUCUAUAUAUUUACUAUGUAUGGAAGAAUAAAAAAAUGCAUAAUUCGACCUUAGUUCAUAUUAUGACCUCAGGAAUGAGUAGUGAUCAAUUCGGGACAGGGCUAUGCGUCGUUAUUCUGUGACACAGCCAUUGUGAGUCGCUUCUAAAUCGGCAAUUUGCAUUGAUAAGUUGUAUUGGUUAAUGACCCAAUAAUACACGAAGUUUUUUUGAUAAAUAAUGAUAUCGGUGUCUUUGUGGUAAGCACAAAGUUCAUAGCUGGUUAUGUAGAUAAGAGGUAGGUCUGUUGUUUGGCCAAUCGGUCAUAAUUUACUAAUUGCGUGUAUUCUUUAUCUUGUGUGUUUAUAUUAUUAUAAGUUAUAACCUACCAACAUAAGUAUAAUGUAUACUAUUGUAUACAGUAUUUUUAAUACCCGACUAUGGCGAAGCAAAUUGAGGGUUAAUUAUUUAGAUCAGUAUUUAUGUAUGUAUGAAUGUUUAUAAGUAUAUAGUAAAUGUGUAUUUUAGCUGCGCGCAUAAACAUCAGGUAAUGGAAUUGGUAAAUUUAAGCUUACAUCAAUUGAAGUACCUGAAGGAUGUUAAUAGGAACCUCUUUUCUAAGCUUAUGCUGUCUGUCUGUGCUGUGCUUGCAUCUUGAGUCAAUGUGUACAAAUAAGCUACGUUGGUUAAUCAAGAGAACAGGCUGAACGCUCGUGCGUCCCCCGCUAAUGCCGAGGUGUAGACAUAAAAGUUUUACGCAUUAGUUUCCUAACUCAUAAAACAGAGCCACGGGAAACAAAAUGAAAGGAAAUGUGGUGAUCUUAAAAUUUUUCUAUCUCCGAUUUUUUUGCACUGUGUGCAAAUAUUUGCUUUAUUCUUUUUCCGCGUUAUGUAAGACAAAUGCAGAUUAAUCUCCAAACAUUAAUUAACGUGCGGUGUAAAAAUUAAUGGCGUGCUCAAAAAUUUCAUAUCGAUUUCCCAAUAACCCAUUAUAACUGAGUAAAAUGUCAAGUAUAGUGGCCUUCUUGACUUGUGCUGCUUUUUUUUGGGCAAGUAGCGUAUUUUCCUUGAGUAAUUACACUAUGAGAUAUCCCGAACUCUUCAGACAUUACGUUAAUACUCGUUUAUCCGAACGAGGGAGAGAAGUGUUCAUGGACUUUUCAAAUACCAUAUCAUGCAAACAAAAGGGUGGCUAUUGUAUUUCCAGAGCGAAUUGUUUAUUAGAGAAAAAAAUGUACUUCACCGGAGCCUGCAACACUGGUGAUAAAGUAUGUUGCUACGAGGACGAAGGAUGGAAAUGAAAACAUCUAUUGUGUUGCUUUGACUAAAUCAGCAUUUGUUGAA